GUCCGAUCAGCACACAGCGGAUGGUGGAAACAAACACCAGCCCAUAGCAAGACUGAAGACUAUACCUACAUCUACAACAGUCGAAGCAUCUCUGAGAGAGAUGAAGGUGAAGAUGUUGGCCGUGUUGGCUCUGGUUCUUCUGCUCUCCAGUGCGAGUGAGGGACGGAUUCUCAGUAAAUGUGAGCUGAAAUCCCAACUCGAGGCGGCACUGGGGAGAAAUCAGGGAGGAAAUGGACCUGCAACUGUCACGAAUGGGCCUGGAAGUGUGACUGGGCCUGGAAACGUGACUGUGCCUGGAAAUGUAACUGUGGCUGGAAACGUAACUGUGCCUGGAAACGUAACUGUGCCUGAAAAUACAACUGCAAAUUCGCUCAUCGCCCAAAUCGUUUGUUCUGUGGAGCGUGUGUCGAAGUUCGACACCAGCCUGGUCACCACCAUCCAAGAAGACCCCAGACCUCCAGUGAGACCCCCUCUCAGACCACAACAACGACCCAAUGAAAGACCAGGGGGAAGACCUGGUCGUCCAGGAGGAAGACCUGGUCGUCCCGGCGGAAGGGGAAAGAGAUCCCAUGUUGCGGCACUCAGGCGGCCAGCUGGAUUUUCUGACGACAGUUCCGAGAGUUCCGAGAGUUCCGAGAGUUCCGAGGAGAAUGUCACUGCAAGGCCUGGUCUCACCACAAAACUGUUUGGAAUCUUCCAGCUGAGCGACCGUGUGGCCUGCGAUUCCGGAUCCAGCCAGAGUCUGAACAUCUGCCGCAUGAACUGCAGAGCUCUGGCUGAUGAUGACAUCAGGGAUGACAUCACGUGCCUGAAGAUCCUGCUGAACAGCACAAGAAAUGCCGCUGUUUCAGCCUUCGCUUCUCCACCCAAUAAAACGCCACUUGUAAUUCUCUCUGUGAACAAGUGCCGCAACGUCAAUCCUGCGCAGUACUUUGCUGAGUGUCCGUGAAACAUUCAGCGUUUCUUCAGGCAUGAAUAUUCUGUCAAAUUUCAUCCCAACUCAUUAUUGUAAUAAACCCAACAGGAACUCAGUUCUCAGACCCUUGUAUUUCACUCUUCCAUUUUCUGCCAUAAUGUACCUGUAAAAUGUUCUCAGAAUAGCCUCAAUUAUGCUGCAUGUACUAUAGCAUAUCUCAGAAUGCAAAUAAACAAAUAUUUUAAAAAAAAUACACUUGUCUAAGUCUUUACAAUAAAAACACCAACAAAUCAGUGUUUGCAUGAGUG
rnacentral:lncRNA from 1 species